rnacentral:rRNA from 1 species
GUGGUUUGUCGCGUCGUUUGUGUAAGCCCGCAGCUUAACUGCGGGACUGCAGGCGAUACGGGCAUAACUUGAGUGCUGUAGGGGAGACUGGAAUUCCUGGUGUAGCGGUGGAAUGCGCAGAUAUCAGGAGGAACACCGAUGGCGAAGGCAGGUCUCUGGGCAGUAACUGACGCUGAGGAGCGAAAGCAUGGGGAGCGAACAGGAUUAGAUACCCUGGUAGUCCAUGCCGUAAACGGUGGGCGCUAGGUGUGAGUCCCUUCCACGGGGUUCGUGCCGUAGCUAACGCAUUAAGCGCCCCGCCUGGGGAGUACGGCCGCAAGGCUAAAACUCAAAGGAAUUGACGGGGGCCCGCACAAGCGGCGGAGCAUGUGGAUUAAUUCGAUGCAACGCGAAGAACCUUACCUGGGCUUGACAUACACCAGACCGCUGCAGAGAUGUAGCUUCCCUUUGUGGUUGGUGUACAGGUGGUGCAUGGUUGUCGUCAGCUCGUGUCGUGAGAUGUUGGGUUAAGUCCCGCAACGAGCGCAACCCUUGUCUUAUGUUGCCAGCAAUUCGGUUGGGGACUCAUGAGAGACUGCCGGGGUUAACUCGGAGGAAGGUGGGGAUGACGUCAAGUCAUCAUGCCCCUUAUGUCCAGGGCUUCACACAUGCUACAAUGGUCGGUACAACGCGUCUUGCGAGCCUGUGAGGGUGUGCUAAUCGCUGAAAACCGGCCUUAGUUCGGAUUGGGGUCUGCAACUCGACCCCAUG